UACGUAGGGGGCUAGCGUUGUCCGGAAUCAUUGGGCGUAAAGAGCGUGUAGGCGGUCCGGUAAGUCCGCUGUGAAAGUCGGGGGCUCAACCCUCGAAUGCCGGUGGAUACUGUCGGGCUAGAGUGCGGAAGAGGCGAGUGGAAUUCCUGGUGUAGCAGUGAAAUGCGUAGAGAUCAUGAGAAAGACCAGUGGCGAAGGCGGGUCUCUGGACAGUUCCUGACACUGAGACACGAAGGCCAGGGGAGCAAACGGG
rnacentral:rRNA from 1 species